ACAUAAGGCAGAUUUAACGGGUCUAAUAUUAAAUCUCUGCAUAUCGUUUUUGCAGAUAAAACCCACAAUAUAAUAAGUCUGGGCAUGUUAUUGAAGGCCAGUGAGGCUAAGGUAAUCCUGGAAGGAAUAGAGAAAAAUGGAUAAUGUUCUGAAAGGAAGAGCCGUCUGCCAUCCUCGUCGCUCGCUCCACGCGAUCAGCGGUUCACAGAACAUUGGACUGAUUGUUCAGUUCCAACGCAGCAGCAACAGCAAAAGCACAGAAAGUGAUUAAAGCAGCAAACAAGGUUUCCCCUAUUCAAGUGAGUGAUCAAAUUACUGGAUGGGAUGUUCUCCUGCAUCAUGUGGAAAUUUCAAAACAAGCUACUGACCGAAUUCAAGAUGAGAUUUUUUUUUUCUUUUCUGUCUAGAAGUGUGUUUGAGAUUGAAACGCUCAGAAUGACGGGCUGCAAGCAGGUUAUGUAAGUCUCAGUGUACAGUAGAGUAGAGAAAGAUGCACUCCUAUUGAUCCAGCUCUGGUCACGUGACUUUUUGUCUUUGAAAAUGGAGCGUCCCCCGUGGAUCCACGGAAAUCAAGGGAGGGGAGUGAGGCAGUCCAGCCAGAACAGUCAGAGUUAUGAAAAGAAAUGAAGGUAAAAGAUGAGAUUUGACAGACGGCCCUGCAAAUUUGAUGAGUAAGGGUCUGAAAUGAAAGGGAAGCAGAGGGAAAAAAGGGCAUGGAGAGGACAGGCCAGCCCCUCCCUCCUGGAUUACUGUACAGAGGAGCUUUCCCAUCGGCCUCUGAGGUGGAGCUGAUGACCUCAUCCCCGUGAUGAGCCAAUCAAUAGACAGCUGAUGUGAUCCAGUGGAGUGAAGCUCUUCAUCGCUCAUUCACGUUCGUGUGUGGUCCUUAUCUAGGUGUACUCCACAGCCUCCUCAGUCUGUGUUUGUGGGUGUGUUUGUGUGGCGUGGUUGUAAAAGGCCUGGGAGCGAAGAUAAGUGACCGUGGCUCUCCGCCAGCGCUCUGCCUCCUGAAGUAAGAUGUUCAGCGAUCUUCCUAAAGUUGCCAAGAGGACGAAUGCAAGUAAUUUGAGUUUAUUAGUUUAAGUGGGUACACUGUGUCUCCACAUUGCUGAAAUUUAACAACUGGUUUACUAUAAGUCAACACAGGCAUCGAUUCCUACCACACACACUGUGGGUUCUUGAUUUUCGUACCUUUUAAGACCAUUUUGCCAUAUUUACUGACAUCAUGAAAGGACUUGUUAGAACUUGUUGCCGUUCAAUGAGGCCAAGUGCAAAUUUAAGCUCCCAGUGUAGUUUAGGAGUUUUUUUCUGCAGGUUUUGGUUAAAGAGAAAACUAUUAUGAUGGAUUGUCAUAUGACUAUCUUUUUAUUUUAUUAUUUUUAGAAGAAAUUUGUAUUUCGGAUAUACCAGCGAAUGAUCUUUUGUUAAAUUAAAAUCAGAGAAAAUCAGAUUGUAUCUAUUAGAUUAUUAAAUAUUUUAAAUAGAAUCUUCUUUUUUUUAGUUUCAGGCUAUCUUGUUUUAGUUAGUUUUUUUUUUUUUUUUUGCUACUGAACUUCCUGAAACAUCUCAGUUGAAGUCCACCCUUUUCUUCCUGCAUUUGAUGCCAUCAUAAUAAGGCAUGUUUGCAUCAGGCCUUUUUAAAAAGCCGAAAUGAACCACAAGGGAAUAAAUAACUGAAAGAACAUUAUACAUAAGAUAUUUAUAUUUGUUUUGGUUUGGGGUUUUUUGUAAAUAAGGUGAACAAAGCAGACUGAAUUUUUUCUGGAGGAAAAUGUGAUGAUUGAGUUCUGGAUAGAUAGAAGCUGUAAUAGAUAUGUAUUAUAAAGAAAUAAUAGAUAUAUUGGAAUACAAUUUAAUAUAUUAAAAAAAUCAAAUAGAAACCACUGUGAUUAUAGUUAAUUUAAGUAAUUACACAAGUUAAACUUUUUUUACAGGUAAGUUUUAGACAGCUGUAGGUAAAGGACCAUAAAACUAAAAGGCAUUGAAUUAAACUCUGACUAUACUGAAUUUUUGCAAAGUUCUACUCAGAAAUUCUGCAGCAUGUGUAGAUGCUGCCAACACUAGGUUCCACACUGAUCAUCUUUUGAUCUAUUUUAAAAGGGUUCCCAGUGGUUUUUAAGUUAUCUUUAUAUUGUGUUUAGCCACAAUAAAAAAAACAAAAAAAAAACAAACUCUGUUGUUUUUUAGAAACGUUUAUACAGUAGUUCAUUAGAAAUUCACCUCAGAGUUAUGAGUGGAAUCGUUGAUGUGAAGCAACCCCACCCUCUUUACCCUCACCGGUAACUAAGGGUGCUCUGUUUACACAUUCUGCCGCUAGCUUACAGCCCCUCACGCCCCCAGCCUGAAAUUAUUGGUGCAAACAAAUUAUAUUGAGCAAUAUUGAAGCCAUCCAGCUGUACAGUUUGGAGCCAGAUGCCAACUCAGGCGAGGAAAACGAAGUUGUUCAUGGAUCUGGUCGUGUACAAGUGGAUGCAACAAAACAAAGCAGAGAAAAGUUGCUUUUUCUUAUGCUUGUGGUUCACGAUUUAAAUAAAGAAAUACUCAGAAAUGCUAUUUUAAUCUUCAUUUUCUUUAUAUAUGUCCUCCAUCAUCAGAAAAAUAUCACAAGAACAUGCUAAAAACACAAUUUUGAUCGGAGUGGGUCUUUUACUUGUCAAGGAAAUAAAGCAGCCAGGAGCGUUGUCCAAACGUUUGCACUGCUAUCCAUAUGCAUUCACCUAUUCACAGCCUAACUAUUUCCGCCCAGGAGCACAGACAACAUGCACGCAGACACACACACACACACACACAGAGACUUCUACACAAACACAUACAGAGCUCAUGCGGCGGGUGCUGGUGUGUCAGCGGUGAGCACUGCCUAAAUAAGGCAAGGCAUCAGUUGGCUUAUCAGCACCAGCCAGGAAUAUAUACCCAUCCCAACACUGAUAUAGCUACCCGCCAUCUUACUCACUGUAACAUCUCUCCCAAUGUGCCUGUGUGUGUGUGUGUGUGUGGUCAUUAUGUUUAAACCAGGAGGAUAAGAGAGCGGGAUAAUCUGUCUGCUUGUGUAAAGAGAUGGGAAUAAGUGUGUUAAAUGUGUGUUUCUGCCCACAUACAAGAUGGGGUGGGGGUGGGGGGGGUUGUUUAUCACCUGCUGUGUGCAGUGACCUCAGCCACUCACCACCUGCCCUUUUUUGGAGAGAGUUAUUUAUCAGCAUGGAAGCAAAAUAAUCCCAACUGUCUGUACAUUUUCCCACCUUUACUCUCCAUCGUCCUUUUGGGAGGCAGCAGUACAGAUAAUGGUUGAAUUUUGUCAAGUGGAAAAUGCAUUUGGCAGGAUCUUGGUGCUUCUGAUAUUUUAUUUAACGUGUUUAGAAGCACUACAAAGUAAAUAUUGACCACUGUGAGAACGAGUUCCGGUGAUUCGCAGAGCUCUUCUCUGCUGCAACGACGCAACCUAACAUCCUUUUUUUUGCACGCCAUAGUAAAAGACUCACAUGUACACUCACUUUAAAUAAGGAGCCAAAUGUGCUUCAUAUAUUCAUACCUUAAAUGAUCAAAGUUAUUGCCAAGCUGCAUACGAAAGGGCUAUAAAUAAUACUGCUGAUGCAAUGGGACAUGCACCGUGAAUUGGUCUAGCAGUUUUCAAAUGACGCACAGUGUAAUCACAUUACCCCAUGUAAUUGAAUCUUAACCUCUGCUUGGUCAAAUUUCUGUAUUAUGAAGUCAUUUUAGUUUUUCUGACACAUACACAAUAAAAAAAUAUGUGGGACGUUCGAAUAAGCAGGCUAGGAGUUCAUAUCAGUACCUUUAUUUUGAAAAUUACAGAUAUCAAUAUGUUUCAUUUGUAGCGCGAUUUUAAACUCCUGACUUCUUUCUGUUAAAGCUGGAAAUUCACCUUCGGUGUCAUCAAGGUCAUCUCUUAUUAGAUCUAAGCUGAGGAGUUUGAAAGAAGCACUUGCUUUUUAGUGCAAGAAAGGAAGAAACAAAGGCUUUUUUUUGACUGACAGUUGAAAGCCCUUUCCUCUCUGCUUCCCUUUGAAAUAUAUUUGUCCUCCCUGGUGGGAGACGGAAUGAAGGCGAGAAGGAAAAACUCUUGGCAGAAAUCAGCUCAUACCCUGCAGGAAUAAGAGUUCGUAGCAUCUUCACCACACCGAGAAAUACAUACUAACAAGCA